UGCUGUAAAGGGCCGGCGGUGGAGACCCGAAUGUUGUAAAUUUUGGAGCGGGAAUGUACUUCCAGAAACAAGACAAUGUGCAUGUUAUGUACUGAAAUAUUCUCUUGGCGAUGGUUAUCUUCCCCUUAUUUUAGGGUUCCCAGUUUCGCGGGUCAUUCCCUGGGUCCGGUCAGGCAGCGGGUCGGCUUCACCCGGGAGGGUAUGUCCUGAGCCCGAAGGUCCAGUACCCGCUUCGUGACAUGGAUGAGCAGUUCGGCUCCGGCUGGCGUCGAACCCGCAAGCAUGACAAUUGGCCCUCAAGGUUCUAACUAGUAGAACUGACUCAUCCCGUCUCCUCUUUCACAGUUGCUCUUUAAAUCCCGUUCGCUUUAAUGGAGUUUUCUUCUUCUCUAUUGGAUUCGCAUGUACUCUUUUCUUAAGGGAGUCAAUUUUCACUCUUUAAAAGAUGAAGCCGCCGAUGAAUAGGCUCUGAGUGAAGUUUCCUGGAUAGAAAGGUGGAGUAAUCUCGAUUUGAUUUGAUGAAGAUUUAGAUGAAUCGGCAUCCUCUCGGAGAUGGUCCGAUAAAGAUCUUUAAUUUUAUUGAGUAAUCCCAGAGUUAUUACCCAAUGAAGUUGAUGGUGGCUCUCAUUGAAGCGACAGCCGGAUGAAAGAUAGCAGAUCGAGAAGUUCAAAGCUUGUUCGGUGACCAUGAGCAGUCUCUGCCGCCGGCGAGGUGUACCGACUUCCUCUCAUCCCAUGCGUUGGUGCGACAGAUGCAUGUCAGAUCCAGAAGUUUAAAGACUCAUGCAAAGGAGGAUGAGGGCGCGUGUCACGUCUUUCCCGUGAUGAAGACACAUGCACUAUUAGGCCUAAUAAAAUUUAUUUUAUGUCGAGUUGUAUGAUGAGUUUCAAGCCUGUUGCUUCUCUUGUAAUGUUCAUUGGGCCUUUCUAAAGGAAAGAAACAUUUGACAAAAAAAAAGAAAAAAAAUUCUACC